AUCCCUGGAGUGGUUGCUUAAGAGAUAAGUCGAGAGCCUCGAUGGUCUACGUGGGUCCCUCUGAGGCCAGAAGAGGGCGCUGCGUGCCCUCCAGACACCCCUGGUCCCCAGCAGUUUAGCCACAGGGGAUCGAAUAUAUCUGCAUGAAGGAUAGCCACCCACGAGCUAAACAAAAUUUCUCCGCCUUUAGAGAGAGAGAGAGAGAGAGAGAGAGAGAGAGAGAGAGAGAGAGAGAGAGAGAGAGAGAGAGAGAGAGAGGUCCCAGGAGACCCACCCACGAUACAGAAACAGAACUAGAAAAGCUUGCAGUUCUGCUGAAUAGAUGCAAAUGAUUUUGGUGAGAGUAACUUAACAGAGCGUUUAUCUUGCAUUGCAUCUCCUGGAGAGAAGAACUUUAGCGGGUACUGAGUUCACACCCAGGGAAGUGACGGUAACUCAGCAGGCAGUGUGUCUGGAGUGACCUCAGAGCAAUCAUGCCCACAGCCACACAGAAGAAUCUGAAGGAGUUCCAAAGAUGGCAACAAAUGAUCUUAACAUCCCUGCUGCCUCUGGCCUUGAAAGCAUGGAACACACCCUUUUUUGUUGACCAACCAAGCUUGAUGGAGCCUGGUAACCCCAGGGCCUGUUUUCCAGGGAACCACUGAUCUGGGAGUGUCUACACCGGAACAGGAUACUGCCUGGUGGGAGGAAGAACAACUCACUUCACUGAAAACCAAGCAUUUAUUUCAAGGGACCUAGAUCAACUGUAUGGUUUUUUCAACAAUAAUUUCCUUAAGAUUCCUCACCACAAAUGCUUUAGAAGCUGAGCUGGUAGUUUACUGCCUUCUGGUCAUGCUAUGAAACAAAUGCAGACCUCAUUAAAGGAGGAAACCAAAAUUCUAAAGAGCUGGGCAUCACAGCACAUGCUUUUAAUCUUGGAGGCAGGCAGAAAUUGGUGAGUUCCAGGUCAGCCUGGUCUACAUAGCCAGAUCCAGGCCUGCCAGCACUACAUAGUGAUUUAAAAAAACUCAUUCUAAAAUUUUUCUUCUAGAUGCCUCAUUAAAACAUUCCUCAUUUCUCAAGAUUUUCCUUUUGGAAAAAUAGGCCUUUAAAAGUAAAACAUACCAAUUUUAAGUAACUUCAAUCUCUCUCUCUCUCUCUCUCUCUCUCUCUCUCUCUCUCUCUCUCUCUCUCUCUCAAGUAUUUGGAAAGGCCAACUGAAUCAACUUCCCAUCUCCCUCAGAAAAAUAACUUCUUUAUCAGUUUGGACUUCAUAAUUUAGUGAUAGUUGUAUCUGGUCUAGGCUGAGGUUAUUCUGAUAUUAUCUGAACACAAGGAACUAUUCUAAGCUAAUCAACAACAUCUGUACCAUUUGGGACCAGUGAUUCUGCAAUGGCUUAGAGGAUUCUGUGUACUAUGCAUGUGCUCAGUCUGAAUUUGGUAUCUCAGGUGCCAAGCAGGCUGUCAGACCUCUUCUACUGAAUCUUCUACUGAAUAAACCUGUAGUUUAUUAUCCUUUCCCAACCAUUUAAAUUAAUAUAUACACACACAUAUAUAUGUAUGUAUGUUUAUAUGUAUGUAUGUAUGUAUGUAUGUACGUAUGUAUGCAUAUGUAUUCUGCCUAUGAGAGAUUACAAGUAACUUGGUAGACACUGACUAGAUCAUCCAUUUGUGACAGGACCAGUGAGUACUUUGGUGAGUCUCUUGGCAAAAGUGCACAUGGAAAAGAAACUGCUGGGCAAACCCAGCAUAGGAUGCUUCUCGUGGAUUACAAAGUAAGUAGCCUGUGCUCUGCAAAGAGUGAAUGUCAGGAAACACAGGGCCAUGGACCUGCCUGCAUUGAUGGAGGCUACAGGCAGGGUAAAGGAGUGCAGCACAUGACCCAGGCUCUCUCUUUUGCUGUUAGAAGUGUGAACUUAUUCUGCACAGGAAAGCAGACUCCAUACAAACUGCUGGCCCUGACAGUGACACCAGCUUAAGGAAGAAAAUGCUUUUAUUUAGUGGGGAAAGCUAUUAUAGCUUUAAAUUUCAAAUAGCUUGGAAAAAUGUGUGAGGAAGGAUGCAAAAUGACACAGUACUGGCUCACUGAACACAGUACUGGCUCACUGAACUCAGGUGAGAGGCGCAAGGGGAUUCUUGUGUGAUUCUUACAAAAUACUAUAU